GCCGGCUUAGCUCAGUUGGUAGAGCAUCUGAUUUGUAAAUCAGAGGGUCGCGUGUUCAAGUCAUGUAGCCGGCA
rnacentral:tRNA from 1 species